CCUGAUCGUAACAGACGGGUUUUGUUAGAGAGUGUGUCUUCUGUACCCAGUACUAUUAUUUAUUCUGUGACAAGACGAAAUCACGGAUAGGUCGUUAUUUUAUCGCCUGUCGUGUUGGUAAAGUCGAUAAAUGCUACCAUGACAGUUAUGUUUCACUUCUACGUAAAAAGUAAAAAAAUACGAGUACAUCUUAAUGUUGCUAAUGGAAAUUUGGACAUGUGAUAGAAAUCGAUAAAAAAGCAAUUUCAUAAAACAUAGGAAGGUCAAUCUAAAACUAGCAGCAUUGAAGUGACUAAUGAAACUGGGCUAUAACCGCGAAAAUCGAAGUUCGCAAAUUGCGGGGAUGUUUCUCUGCGACCUUAAUUACGCCGUCAUUGGAGUAAAAGAGAAAGAUCCCCGCAAUAUGCGAAUUUCGCAACACAUGCUGCCUGUUUAGUAUUUCAUAAAUUGUGACUUUGACUGUGAAACGGGCUAGAAGAUUGAGAGCAUGUUAACAAAAUCAUUUUAGGAUUAACUAAAAUCUAUUGAAAAGUUUAAACUUUAAAAUUUUUACGGUUAUUUAUAUAAUUAAGAUUAUUACAAUUAUAUCACUUAACACAGAUAACGUACGUAGGUAUACGAAAAUAGGUACAAAGUACACCGCAGACGGCAAGAUGAUACGAUAAUUAAUAGGCCUUGUACAAAGAAAUAUGUUCACUCUAGAGGAAUGCCUUUGGAAUGCUAUAGGUAGGUAGGCCUACAAAUUAACGUCAUGUCUAAUCCUCGAUUAUUAAAUUAUAAUACGUAACUAGGUAAUACAAUUUUUAAAUUAAUUUGGUAUUUAUAGCUUUGUUUGACUUUAAAAAGUACAAAGAAAAAGUAAAAAAAAAGAAAA